AUAUUUAGUAUCUUCCACCCUUGCAGGCCUUGCGUCACUCUUUCUUUUGGCUGAUUUUCUAUUUUUUAUUGUGCUAUAUAAUGGUAUAAAUUUAGGGAAAAUUUUCCUAGUAGAGAUACUAGUCUAUGUGGCAUCCAGUGCAGAGUAUUAACUUAAUGCCAAAAGAUUGAGGUGGAGCUCUUUCAAAAUUAAUUUGCAUUGGUUAUAAUGUUGCACAGACGUUUCCAACAUGCUACAUAAUUCUUGUGUUUUUAUCCAACCAAAAGGCUGAAAAGAUUGUUAUCUGAAAAAUAAGUUAAUGAAGAAGAGGAAAACAUGAGCUUCUGUAGUUUCUUUUUCUAGGUUACCUCAUAUAUAUAAAGGGUCAGCAUUAAGAAUACAUGCUUACAUAAAGCCAUUGUCCAAAAAUGCCAAAAAUAGCCAAGGACUGGAACAAAAUUUUAAAAGCCCUGCAGCAACCAUGAAUGGUCACUAGAAUAUAGCCUCAUGACUAUGACCUACAGUAGUCAAAAACAUGUUAAAUACCUAUAGGUGACUGUUAGGAUGCCCAAUAUGUAUGUAUAAAGAUAAAAAUUAAAAAAUUAAUGGAGGUUCCUGGUUGGGGAGGUCCAGGCAGAUGAUGUUGGCACACCAUAGGUGCCUAACUCAAACUCUGCAAGGCUUUGCUUGGCUUGGCUCGGCUCAUCUUGAUAAGCUCAUAGUUAUAGAUUUCUUUUCUUUGCUAGCCUUAGUUGCUUUACUCCAUUUCCAUGUUUACAUGGCUGAUGUUUAUUUCAGUUCUUUCAUUGGACUGUACAUUAGUUGUGAGUUGGAUAAAACAUUUCGUGUUUUCCUUUGACUUCCAAAACCAAAUGCCAAAGAUUCUGAAUGAGAAGGAAGUCAGUCCUAUCAAUGGAAAAUAAAUUGUUUAAAUAUCAUGCCCAUGACAGUCUGCAUUGGCACAUCAGACACAAAAAAUCAACAUCAAGUAGUGCAAUCAUCUAUGUCCUCAUCAUGUGUGGUGUUUUAUCAGAUCUGUCUAAUGUGCAGUUACCUGCUGCAAGGAAUCUGGUACAUCUUUCCUUGCUACAAUUUAGAAUGCCCUGGCCCUUCUGUUUUACUUGCAAAUAUCUUUGCCGAAUAAAUUGGAAAUUGGAUAAGCAACCCUGUUUUUGGUGAGCUCCGCAAAAGAUAUUAACAUUCAGUGCUUACCUUAUUUCUGCAUCGUGAUUAUGGUAAACUAAUUUGCAUGGAAUGCACAUUGACAGAAAUUUGCGGUCUUCAUGCUAGCUCAUCACAUGCUAUCUGAGUCUCUCCAUGUUCAUAUGGAGCAGAUUAAGCAUUGGAAGAAAGUAGUUUGUUUUGCAUUUAACAAUUAAUCCUUUUAACCAUAAGGUUUGGCUGACAGCAGGAACAAUAUAUUUGUGUUACCUCUACUCAAUGUUAUGGGGAUUGCUUAAGGUGAUUUAAAAUUUUGGAGGGGGUCCAAGCAUGUAUACAAGUAUAUUAAGAGAAUAAACCAAGGGUGGUAGCAAAGUGGUGGAUUGCCGAAGUGAAUUUGUUCUAAUAACAUAUAAGGUACAUCUAUUGUUUGCAGCCAAUCAAUGAGUUAAUCCUUCUUUUCUGUAACUUUCUUCAAAGAUUCCCAUGUUUGACAAGAACUGCGAGGGAAAGGAAUUAUCUGGUUCUAGAUGUCUAUAAAGGAUAAUUGUGAUUGCCUGAGACUUACAUUGCUUGCACUUGUACUGUAUUAAGUUUGUUUUUCAUGCUGAUACUGCUUUGCGUUUCUAUUUUGAUAUUUUUGACCGGUAGCAUGCAGCUCUUCUUGAUAGUAGCACCUACUAUCUGUAAAAUAGCUUUCUUACAUCUUAUUUUCUCUUUUUCAAUCUCAUGCAACCAUUUCAGGCUAUUGCCAUAUCAUGUGGUGUCUGAUUACGAGGCUGAAGAAGAUGACAGGAUUCUUGACAGCGACACCACUGGUCAGAUUCCUUCUCGGCUUCAGCAGUGGGACCACAACAUCCUUUCCAAGAUUGCAGAGUUCACCAGUACCUUCGAGAAACAAGUCCUUGCCUUCAACAUUAUGUCGAGGAAGAGGGCCCUUGGAGAAUUUAGGUCAGAGGAGAGACUCAUGAUAGAACAGGCUCUACUGCAAGAGGAGAAGCAAGCAUUGCUGGAGAUAAGGGCGGAGAUUGAGUCCAGAGAGAAGGCUGGCAGGGAAGCAGCAGAGGCUAAGAUGCGGAUGGCAAUGGCUCAAGCUGAGCAUGCUCGGGCAGAGGCUCAAGCCCAUGCCGACAUGAUUGCUCGUGCUCCAAUGAAGGCAAGUGCUGCUGCAUCCCAGGGUGAUGAGGGUUCUGGCCAUGACAUGGGUCAGGAACCGGGGGGGAACAUGGAAGAGAUUCAUGGGUGGGGAAAUGCUCAAAGAGAUGAUGAAGAUCCAUCAGAAGAUUUUCUGAAUGAUGAGAAUGAGCCUGAGGAUGGAGAGACAGGGAUGCAGAAUGAAUGGCGAGAAGUUGGGGAAUUGGAUCUGAACACCAGGUGAUAUCACUAUGUUGAAGAUGGCUUCUGUGCUAUCCUAGAAAAUCCAAAAGCGUUUCCUGUUUUUGUUGUUCACAGAGGUGCAAGGUGGUCAGCACUUUCUUCAAGCUUAUCAUAAGCACAAAAUUUCGGAUGUCGUGUAUUUGCUGUCUAUGACAUUGGAUUUGUCUAGCGAACAUUUGUUGCAAUGCCAAGGAAAAACCAACAGCUUUUUUUGCCUGUAAAGGUAGCAAACUAUCAGAAUGCAAAUGUGCCUCAAAAAAUGCUUUAAUUUGUUGCCUUUGAUUAGCAGCUAUUUUGAGCUUACAAUACGAAUUUGGAUCAGUAUGGCUGAUAAGACUGAGCAAGGUUGCACCUUGUCCGUCUGUUCAUAAUCAAAUUUACCUGUUAUGAUGCAAUCAGGUUGCAUGUUUUCUUGGGCAAUAUUGGCAGAAAAAAGGUGUACAGUAUUGUUGUGUGAUAUCGUUUUAGGAGUGCCUCAUCUUUUUUUCUCUUACAUCUUGCCCUGUUGAGCAUUUGUUUCAUCUUUGUUCCUGAGGACCUCCCACGUCAGCCGUUUAAGGUUGUUUCUGGCAGCUGGGAACAACAUUGUUGCUUUUAUUAGACUAUGUUGUUUGCUGCACCAUAGAGUGCACUCCCUGCCUUGUGAUGUAUAUGAUGUGGGAGCAGAUCAAAAGCAUCUGAAUGAUCUCAUGUUUUUCCUCCCGACUUUGGAAUUUCUGACCGCAAAAGAGAUUGUGAAACGGGGGUGUUUCCUCUCCUACAAUCACAAAAUUACUGCUGAUAUUGGGUGUCAUUCUGGUAAAUUGUGUAUUAUGGUAGAAUCUUGUCAUCGGUGAGGUCUGAUCUACCCUGGACAAUUUGUAGGACAAAGGUGUAAUCGAUCAGUCAUCUCUUUGUUUUCAUUUCGACUAAUACCAUAAAAUAUUGAUUUGCUAUUUAUUUCCUAUUUUACUUGGGCGUUGGUUUCCAUUGAAAAAUUUUAGUUGUCAAUGCUCUGAAUACGUCUCACCUGAUAGACCUCAAGUCAUUGUAUCCAUGAUCUGUUUCAUUCCGGAAUUUGUUUUCUUAGAAGUAGAGAGACUCUUCAUUCUGCCUCUACCACAUUCUUCUCAAUGUUAUGUUGUGGCAGGCACGUCCCACCUCAUCUCUCCAGUGGAGAUUUUUUUUUAAAAAAUACUUCUCACCUUCUUAUCUUUGUUAUUUUUACUUUUUAAAUUUUGUGGGUACAAGAGAAGAACCACCUAGGGGAGAUAUCAAUGUUUCUAAGAAAUCUGCUUCCAAGUCUCAAAUCCAUGACCUGCUCCAUUUCGAGAUGGUCUAAUGUGACCAAUCGCCUGCUAUUCAGUUGGCAAGUCGUUGCUGGUUCUUCAACUCAACUUUCUUGCUAAUUAAAACUCAACUUACAUUCCAAACCGCAUAAUCCUUAAUUCUGUGCUUGUAAUCCACGCUUUGGAUGUCAAUGCUGUCCCCUUGGGCCCUUCCUUGCUGCCUUCUUGAUUGUGCAGGCACAUAAACUUAUAGACCACUUCACCCUUUUUUUUUUUUUUGGGUAGAUACUAGUUGGAAUGAUAAGCCUAUAUAUUCAACUUACAUUACCAGUUCAGCAGUUCUUCUAUAUUCAUGGUUGUCCUUUUUCCUUAUCUCUAUUUUUGUUAGUAUAAAAUAUGGCAUAAGAGUUUCAAUGAGACAUAAUUUGCUCCUAGUAUACUACACAGUAGAUCAAGGACCAAGGACCUUUAUGAUACAGAAAGGCAUAUUAUAACGGCAUUCUGGAAUUUCCUGCAUAAAUGUGGUGGUGAUCUUAGGUCUCUCUCUCUCUCUNNNNNNNNNNNNNNNNNNNNUGGUGGAUCUUAGUCGUCUCUCUCUCUCUCUCUCUCUCUCUCUCUCUCUCUGUCUCUCUCUCUCAUACACAUACAAAUCCUUAAAUGAUAUAAUGUGGACCACUACAAGGAUAAUUAAGAUUAGAACCAUAUCUGAUAUAGUUAUAUUCAUAUCCAUAUUUAUUUUAUUUGAUGAAUACAGAUAUGGAUAUAAAUAUUAUUCUGAUAUAAAAAUUUAUAUCUAUAUUUAUUUUAAAUGGAUAUAGAUACAGAUACGAAUAUGGAUCAGAAAGUAAAACCGUGAAUAUAAAUACAUAUAUAAGUCAAAUAAGUAAAUUUUAUGAUCAUAAAAUCAAAAAUAUCAUUAAGUGCAAGAUAAAUCAAGUCAAUAGAAUAUUAAUAUGAUUAUUUAUUUUUCUUAAAAAUUUAUGAAUGCUAUAUAGAAUUAAAUAGAGUCGGAUAUCUGGUUACAGAUAGUAUAGUUGUCUAUCAACAUCUCUAUUCAUUUUUCUUUGAUAGAUAUUGAUGGGGAUAUAGAUAAUAGUCGAAUGCUCAAAUUUCGAUUUGUAUCUAGACGGAUUUGAAUACGAAAAUAAAUUUGAAUGGAAAUUAUCUGAUUCAUUUUUACCCCUAAAGAUAGUCAAUUAUAUUUUAAAUAAAAAUUAAAAUAUACUAACUUGAUGUUGGGAGAGAUGUAUGCAUCUACUAGAUUACCAUACUACUGUAUUAUGCUCCUUUUACUAGAGAAAUUAUAUCUUGCUAAUAGUAUGCAACCACAUUGAUAUGAGUGCACCACCUUUGAUGCAGGAUAAGCUCAGAAGGUCAAAGAUAGGAUGCUCUUAUACCAAAUGGUGCAGAACAAAUUGAAGAGGUAGGGAGGAUAGAAUGCUAUGAGACCAAACUGGCAUACAAAAUAAGAAGAGAAAUAGAGAAGAGGAAGAAAAAGAGAAUGGAAGAAAAGAAAAAGAGGAGAAGAAGGUAGAGGGCAAGGGGAGCUUAAUAUUUCAGAUCUUAAUAAUGCAAAUUUAUAUUUUCAAUAAUAUAAAAAAUAUAUUUAUAUAAAUUUAAAAUCAUAAUAAAAGUCCACAUGGAAGUAGAAUACUAAAGUCUACAUAAAAUUCUAUUUCUAGAGUCCACAUAAAAAAAUUUAAUUUCAAAAUAAAAUAAAAUUUUUAAAUUUUUUAUAGGAUGCUUCUCUAUCAGCCCUCCCUCUUGGUUUUGUUGCUCGCAUUCCAUGCCACCAUUGAGCAUAUUAGAGCUAAAUAGAUGCUAAUAAUAUAUAAAUAACAUCACGUAAACAAUGGAAGAUGAAAUCAAACAAUGGGAAACAAGAUAGACUCAAAUCUACCUCAAAAAAUUUUUAUUUCAACCAUAAGAAAUAUGAAAACAUAACUUAUAAAUGUGCAGAGAAAUCAGUAACUAAAAAAUAAUUUUCUCUUCUUGUAGUCUUUUUCUUUUUUCAUAAAAAUCUGCACUAGAGGCUUCUCCUACCAAGCUUCCACCAUGCUUUUCUUCUUUUCAAAAGAAAACCAAAAGACACCCUCUCUCAUUACAACUCAUAGGCUGAUUUUUUUUUCUCUCAUUCUUUAUAUAAAGUGGGAAUCAAGUAAAAGAUUAUUAAGUAUACUAUAAAACUAAAAAAUUAUAUAAAUGCUAUCAAACAAAAUAAAUAAAAAAGAACCCGUUAAAUUAGAUUUACAUUCCAACAUCCCCUCUAAACCUAAUUUCCAAAAGUCUUCAUAUUCAACACGCUCUUUAAUCUUCUAAGUAGAUCAUGCUCUAAUGGUUUAGUAAAGAUAUCAGUAAUUUAAUCUAGAGAUUUGCAAUGAACUAAUUAUACUCUUUUCUCUUUCACAUCCCCCUGGAUGAAAUAAUAAAAAAAAUGAGUGUCUAUAUGCUUACUUCUCUCAUAAAAUAUCAUAUUCUUAUCCAAAGCAAUUACUGAAUGAAUAUCAAUAAAAAUCUCUAUGGCAUUGUUUUGAGAAAAAUCCAAAUACUUCAAUAAAUUUUUUAACCUAAUAGUAUGACAACUAGUAAAAUUUGCAGCCACAUACUCCGCCUCAUAAAUUGACAAGGUCAUAAUUGGUUGCUAUUUGGAGGAACAAGUGAAUGUACUAUUUUUCAUAAAGAAAAUAUAACUAGAGUGCUCUUUCUUUCAUCCAAAUCUCUAUCCCAAUUACUAUCAGAAUAACCAAUAAGUCUAUUAUCAUGUGAAUAAGAAUAGAAUAACCCAUCAUUGAGUAUAUUUUUGAUAUGGCAUAGGAUUCUCUUGGCAGCAUUGAGAUAUAAAUAAUUCAUACUUUUAUAUAUCUACUAAUUAAUCCAAUACUACAAAGAAUAUCCAAUCUUGUGUAAAUGAGAUAUUGGAGGCUUCCAACCAAGCUUUUGAAGUAUGUAGGAUCAAUACUAUCAUUUUCAAUAUACUUUAUCAACUCCAAGCCACUUUUAAGGAUGAUAUUAAUGGGAUUGCAAAACUUCAUUCCAAAUCUCUCGAAAAUCUCCUUCGCAUAGCUAUUUUGAGAAAUAAAAAUUUCAUCUUCUAUUUGCACCACUUUAGUACCAAGAAAUGAGCCAUCAAGUCAAUAUCCAUCAUUUCAAAUUCUUAGAUCAUAUUCUUCUUGAAUUCAUUGAACAUAGUUGAAUUAUUGCUAGUGAAGAUCAAAUCACCAAUACUAAGACAUACAAUCAACAUAUCUCCACUAGUAGUUACCUUCAUAUACAAAGUAUGCUCAUAAGGAUAUUUCUUAAAACCAUUGUCAUGAAAAUACUUAUCAGCUCUUGCAUUUUGUGCUUUCGGUGCUUACUUCAAUCCAUAAAAUGUCUUUUUCAACUGUAUACUUUGUCUUUAUGAUCUACUUUAGCAUACAGCAAAGAUUGUUUUACAUAAAUCUCUUCUUUAAGAAAGUUGAUUUCAUAUCAAGUUGAUAAUCUUCCACUUAUGUUGAGCCACCAAAGAAAGGACUAAUCUAAUAGUCUCUAAUUGAGCAGUAGGAGUAAAUACAUCAUCAAAAUCAACUUUAGAUUACUGCUUAUAGCCCUUUGCUAUUAAUUUUGCUUUGAAUCUUUUGAACUUCUUCCUUUGCAUAUUUUUUUAUUUUGCACAUCCACUUCACACCAAUUUCCUUUUUGCCUUAUGGUAAGCAUGUCCAAGUUUCAGUGUCAUUCUUUUAUAUUGUCUUGAUCUAUUCAUUCAUUGCUUUCUUCCACUCAUUUCUUGAAUAGCCUUUCCAAAGUAUAUCGGAUCACAAUCCAUGAAGAAACAAAACUAAGUUAGAUUGUCAUCUUGAUUUUUUAUAGCUUCAUAAGCUUCUCUCAAGCUUAUCAUUUCAAGUGGCCUUUCACUAAAGCUUUCUUCCAAUGAUGGGGAUGAAGAUGAUGAGGAAGGAGAUCCUUGAAAAGACGAUUGUAGCUUAUUCUCAACUUAUCUUAGCACUUCCUCUUCUUCAAGUUGUAGUUCAACUAGAAUAGCCUCAAUUUGCUUUUUAAUCCUACAUGCCUGCUUCUUCAAAUACAAUAUCUUUACUUAUGAACACAUUCUUCAUAAUUGGAUUAUAUAAUUUAUAGCCCAUUGUUUGCCCACCAUAGCCAAGAAAAAUAUAUUUUUCAUCCUUAUCAUCAAGCUUUAUUUUUCUUGACUCUAGAAUUUUAGUAUAAGCAAUGCAUCCAAAAAACUCUAAAACAAGAGAUAUUUGACUUGUAAGAGCUUCAAGUUUCUUUUGGUGUCUUCAAGUGAACAUUUUUUAUAGGAUAUCUAUUCAGUAAAUAGAUAGCACAUGCAACUGCUUUGGUCCAAAAUUCUCAAGACAUCUUUUUUUCUUUUAACAUACUCCUUUUUAUGUCCAAGAUUGUCUAGUCCUUCCUUUCAACAAUACCAUUAAGUUGAGGCACAUGAGAUGGAGUCACUUGAUGUAUAAUUUUAUACUCCUUAUAAUAAUCUUCAAAGGGAUCAAAAGUAUACUCUCCACUUCUAACGGAUCUUACAACUUUCAAUUGGUAGCCACUUUGCUUCUCAAUAAAACUUUUAAAUUUCUUGAAAACAUCAAAUGCAUCAGAUUUUCUCUUCAAGAAAUAACUCAAGUUUUCUAGCUAAAAUCAUCAAUGAAAUUGAGAAAAAUAUUAAUUCUUGUCAUGUGACAUAGGCUUCAAAGGACCACAAAUAUGGUGUGCACAAGAUGCAAUGGUUUUGGAUGCUCUCCACCUUAUUUAUUUAGUGAAUCUUGAUCUUUGAUGCUUGCUAAGAAUGCAUCCUUCACACACUUGAUGUAGAUGAUCAAUGAUUGGCAACCCCUCCAUCAUGUUAUUCGUAGCUAAGAGCUUUAAGCUUCUAAAGUUAAGAUGUCCAAAUCUUCAAUGCCACAACCAAGAAUUGUCAUCUAUAAUGAAUAUUUGAGUACAUCAUGUUAAAUAUAUAAAGAAAAUAUUCUAUCAUGUGAUAUUUUUAUAUGAGUAAUCAAAUUAUGAUGACCAUUCCAUAAAGUAAAAGAGUUUUUUUCACAUCAACACUAUAAUGAGUCUCCAAAAGUUGACUCGAGCUCAAAAGAUUUCUAUGCAAAUUUGAAACAUAAUAGACAUUAGAAAUAAAAUCAUGAUUGUCAUUCUUGAGCUUAAUGAGAAUAUUAUGUUUGUCUUGCACCAAAAUUUUGGAAUUAUCGCCGAAGAUAAUAUUGCCUUGCACACUUUCAUCCAAAUCAAUAAACUAUUCAUUCUUUUCCAUCAUAUGGUUGCUUGCACUGGUAUCAAAAAAUGAUACAUUAUUUUUAUUCUCCUCAUUCCCAUUAUGAGCCAACAACAAAAAAGAAGUCACCCCAUCAUUACUCUCCUUUUCGAUGAUAUGAGCUUUCUCUUAAACAUUAUUUCCUUGCUUUACCUAUCAUUCAUUGCUAUAAUGCUCAUACUUAUGAUAAUUAAAGCACUGCACAUUCCUCUUGUUGAAGUCUUGCCGAUUGGAAUGAUGAUUGAAUUGCCCUUUGACCUUCUUUUUGGAGGGAAUGAGGAUUGGCCUCUUCUACCAUACCUUCCAUCUCUAUCUUUAUAACUGGAUCCUCUUUCUUGAUUAUUAAAAUCUUUUCCUUGAUUGCUAUAACCUCUUCCACAGUCUUUAUAACUUCUUCCUCAGUUUUUAUAGCUUCUACCUUGGCCUCUUUGAGUGUCAGUAAUAUGACAUUCUUUCUUGAUAUCUUGCAAAGAAAGCUUGGAUUGGAGAGCUUGUUCCAAAGAACUAGAAGAUUUCUUACUCAGUAUAUGCUCAUGAACUUAUAGCAUUUUCAUCAAAUGAUCAAUUGUCAUAGUGUUCAAGUCUUUGGUUUCUUUAAUGACUACCACCACAUGCUCAAAUUUUUAAGUCAAUGAAUAUAAAAUUUUCUCCAUCAUCCUAACAUCAUCAAUCUCCUCAUCAUUUCUUUUAAUUUUAUUUAUAAUUGACAACACUCUUGAAAAAUAAUCGAAAACAGACUCCGACUUGUUCAUGCUCAACUCUUCAAAUUCUCUUCUUAAAAUUUCUUUCACCACUUUAUCAACACCUCGAUGGGCAUUGUUGUGAAUUUUUCAUAACUUCUUUGAAUUUUGACAUUAAAAAUUUUCUCAAAACUAGCUCAAUCAAUAACUUGGUAGAGGGAAAACAAUUUUUUUUUUAUCUCUCUUCCUUAAUUCCUUGAGGAUAUUUC
rnacentral:lncRNA from 1 species